rnacentral:rRNA from 1 species
GUGUCAGCCGCCGCGGUAAUACGGGGGGAGCAAGCGUUGUUCGGAUUUACUGGGCGUAAAGGGCGCGUAGGCGGCCACCGCAAGUCAGUUGUGAAAGCUCUGGGCUUAACCCAGAAAGGUCAACUGAUACUGCGGGGCUAGAGUGCAGAAGGGGCAACUGGAAUUCUCGGUGUAGCGGUGAAAUGCGUAGAUAUCGAGAGGAACACCUGCGGCGAAGGCGGGUUGCUGGGCUGACACUGACGCUGAUGUGCGAAAGCUAGGGGAGCGAACGGGAUUAGAUACCCUUGUAGUCC